AGAGAGAAGAGUAUUGGAUUUGCUGCCAGAAAGUCCUGGAUUAAAUGCUGCCUCUGAGAUGCUUACUAGUCAUGUAACCAUAAGGAUCACUUCAGUUCUUGUUACUCCAGGCAAAUCAAGGAGUAAACAGGAAGGGGUAAACUACAAGUCUGUGGUAAUUGGGUUUCUGGGGGUCCUGAUCACAGGGUGUGGAGGACUUUAUUUACAAGUGAUUUUUAUAAACUGAACCUGUCAUGCUAGUGAUACAGGAUAGCAGUGAAUAGACAUCAGAUUCACUCUCCAGCAUAGACUGAGCCAGAUUAAAUAUAAUUGGGAAAUAAUUUAACAAAUUGAAUAAAAAUGCAAUAUAACACAUACUAUUAAUUUGUGGCUUUUUAGCAGGGGCCUGCAGGAUCUGUUUUCUAUUUGAGUUUGACACUACUGGUAUAAGAACGCCUUACCUUAAUUUAGACCUGCAACUUGGAAUCUUAGAAAUUUUGCUGACAAAGUGUGAAGCUGUUCUUGCCUAGAUGCUCACCUUUUUCGCCACUGCUUUUUGGAACUACUAUGGAACUCUCCUUCAAGGAUUGAUUCAAAUGCUAUCACCUUCAAGAAGUCUUCUCUGAUUCAGUUUUUGUCCUUCAUUCCCAAAAGAAAAGACUAUUAUAUAUUCUUCUCUUGCAUUGAACCCUCUUGUAACAAGGAAAAACCGAUUCAGCAAAAUUAAUGGACACAUCAACUGCACCUGCAAAGCAUGAUAAUUGUAGAAAGAUGUAUGGAAGAAUUGCACAUUUAACAUAUAUUGGAUUACUUGCUGUCUAGGGGAGGGGAAGGGAGAGAAAAAAAUUUGAAACACAAGGUUUUGCAAGGGAGAAUGCUAAAAAUUCUCCUUGCAUGUAUCUGUAAGAGGGCAAAUAUUUGGUAUUGUUCUGCUGAUGGUGGCUCCUGGGGUGAGAGAGUUUUGGUAUAUUAGAGAAGAAAUACUGAGCAGACAGCAAGGUGACACAGUGGGAUAGCAUGCGGGAUUUGGAGUCAGGAAGACUUAAGUUCAAAUGUGGUCUGAGACGUUAUGGAAUAUUAUUGUUCUGUAAGAAAUGACCAGCGGGAUGAAUACAGAGAGGAUUGGAGAGACUUACAUGAACUGACGCUAAGUGAAAUGAGCAGAACCAGGAGACCAUUAUAUACUUCAACAAUGAUACUGUUUGAGGAUGUAUUCUGAUGGAAGUGGAUCUCUUUGACAAAGAGAACUUUAAUUGAUCAAAGAAUCAAUUUCAAUCAAGGACAGAAGCAGCUACACCCAAAGAAAGAACACUGGGAAAUGAAUAUAAACUGCUUGCAUUUUUGUUUUUCUUCCCGGGUUAUUUAUACCUUCUGAAUUAAUUCUCUCUGUGCAACAAGAAAACUUGCACACAUAUAUUGUAUCCAUUCUGCACACAUAUAUUGUAUCUAGGAUAUACUGUAACCUAUUCAACAUGUAAAGGACUGCUUGCCAUCUGGG